UACAGAGGGUGCAAGCGUUGUUCGGAAUUACUGGGCGUAAAGCGCACGUAGGCGGCUUUGUAAGUUAGAGGUGAAAGCCCGGGGCUCAACUCCGGAAUUGCCUUUAAGACUGCAUCGCUAGAAUUGUGGAGGGGUAAGUGGAAUUCCGAGUGUAGAGGUGAAAUUCGUAGAUAUUCGGAAGAACACCAGUGGCGAAGGCGACUUACUGGACACAUAUUGACGCUGAGGUGCGAAAGCGUGGGGAGCAAACAGG
rnacentral:rRNA from 1 species